AUCCACCUGACGAGUUCUAAAUAGGACAAAACGCGAUUCCCGGAU
rfam:Schistosoma haematobium scaffold705_15, whole genome shotgun sequence.